rnacentral:rRNA from 1 species
CCUACGGGUGGCAGCAGUGAGGAAUAUUGGUCAAUGGACGAGAGUCUGAACCAGCCAAGUAGCGUGAAGGAUGACUGCCCUAUGGGUUGUAAACUUCUUUUAUAUGGGAAUAAAACGUUCCACGUGUGGGAUUUUGUAUGUACCAUAUGAAUAAGGAUCGGCUAACUCCGUGCCAGCAGCCGCGGUAAUACGGGGGAUCCGAGCGUUAUCCGGAUUUAUUGGGUUUUAAGGGAGCGUAGGUGGAUUGUUAAGUCAGUUGUGAAAGUUUGCGGCUCAACCGUAAAAUUGCAGUUGAAACUGGCAGUCUUGAGUACAGUAGAGGUGGGCGGAAUUCGUGGUGUAGCGGUGAAAUGCUUAGAUAUCACGAAGAACUCCGAUUGCGAAGGCAGUUCACUGGACUGCAACUGACACUGAGGCUCGAAAGUGUGGGUAUCAAACAGGAUUAGAUACCCUAGUAGUC